GACGAACGCUGGCGGCGUGCUUAACACAUGCAAGUCGAACGGAAAGGCCCUGCUUUUGUGGGGUGCUCGAGUGGCGAACGGGUGAGUAACACGUGAGUAACCUGCCCUUGACUUUGGGAUAACUUCAGGAAACUGGGGCUAAUACCGGAUAGGAGCUCCUGCUGCAUGGUGGGGGUUGGAAAGUUUCGGCGGUUGGGGAUGGACUCGCGGCUUAUCAGCUUGUUGGUGGGGUAGUGGCUUACCAAGGCUUUGACGGGUAGCCGGCCUGAGAGGGUGACCGGCCACAUUGGGACUGAGAGACGGCCCAGACUGCUACGGGAGGCAGCAGUGGGGAAUAUUGCACAAUGGGCGGAAGCCUGAUGCAGCAACGCCGCGUGCGGGAUGACGGCCUUCGGGUUGUAAACCGCUUUCGCCUGUGACGAAGCGUGAGUGACGGUAAUGGGUAAAGAAGCACAGGCUAACUACGUG
rnacentral:rRNA from 1 species